GACGAACGCUGGCGGCGUGCUUAACACAUGCAAGUCGAACGGUAAGGCCCUUCGGGGUACACGAGUGGCGAACGGGUGAGUAACACGUGGGUGAUCUGCCCUGCACUUUGGGGUAAGCCUGGGAAACUGGGUCUAAUACCGGAUAGGACCAUGGACUCCACGGUUUGUGGUGGAAAGCUUUUGCGGUGUGGGAUGGGCCCGCGGCCUAUCAGCUUGUUGGUGGGGUAAUGGCCUACCAAGGCGACGACGGGUAGCCGGCCUGAGAGGGUGUACGGCCACACUGGGACUGGGUUACGGCCCAGACGCCUACGGGAGGCAGCAGUGGGGAAUAUUGCACAAUGGGCGCAAGCCUGAUGCAGCGACGCCGCGUGGGGGAUGACGGCCUUCGGGUUGUAAACCUCUUUCAGCACAGACGAAGCGCAAGUGACGGUAUGUGCAGAAGAAGGACCGGCCAACUACGUGCCAGCCGCCGCCGUAA
rnacentral:rRNA from 1 species